rnacentral:rRNA from 1 species
GACGAACGCUGGCGGCGUGCUUAACACAUGCAAGUCGAACGGAAAGGCCCCUUUGGGGGUACUCGAGUGGCGAACGGGUGAGUAACACGUGAGUAACCUGCCCUUGACUUCGGGAUAACUUCAGGAAACUGGGGCUAAUACCGGAUAGGAAUCCUUGCUGCAUGGUGGGGGUUGGAAAGCUUCGGCGGUUUUGGAUGGACUCGCGGCUUAUCAGCUUGUUGGUGGGGUAGUGGCUUACCAAGGCUUUGACGGGUAGCCGGCCUGAAAGGGCGACCGGCCACAUUGGGACUGAGAUACGGCCCAGACUCCUACGGGAGGCAGCAGUGGGGAAUAUUGCACAAUGGGCGGAAGCCUGAUGCAGCAACGCCGCGUGCGGGAUGACGGCCUUCGGGUUGUAAACCGCUUUCAGCAGGGGCGAAGCUUGUGGUGACGGUACCUGCAGAAGAAGCACCGGCUAACUACGUG